GGGACCAUAGAUCAAUUGGUAGAUCAGCCCUCUUGCACAGAGCAGACAUAGGUUCGAAUCCUAUUGGUUCCA